GAUAAGGUUCGUUGGCUCAUGAGUGAUAGAGAUAAAUGGAGAGAAGCGCUGUCACGAAACUGGAAACUCGUUCCAGACUUCAUCGACCUAGGCAGGGACGUACUAAAGAGAAGAAAUUAACGAGGUCAGCGAUAUGAAGAAGACUGAAAGUAAAAAUGUGCGACUGUGCGUACUAAAUCACUCAACACUCAAAUUUUAAGAUUUUGAAAACUGUCUCGACCACUUGAUAUGACGUGGUAGCCUGUGAGCGUGUAGACCGCUCCUCUUUCAUUUUUUUGAGUAGCCGAUCCAAAACCAAAACCUGUGACCUGGGUUUACAUGAGACGUGGGAGCCUGUGAGCGUGUUAGUUUCUCAAAAAUAUGUCGGAGGAGGGGAUAGAAUAUAUGCAAAAAGAUGUCCGAAAUAUAAGGAGUUCCCGGUCUUGGCUUGGAAACUACGUCAAAAAUCUGGGCCAGACACUAGAAACAUCGAUUUUGCGUGGCGAUCUGUUCCUAAAUCACAUUGUUGAAGGAAUUCCUAGAGCAAGUACU